ACAACCUAGCCGGAACCAAUAGGAGCAAGGUUAGCCCCGGAGGCAGCGGCUCCGAGGAGGAGGGGCGGCUGAGCCGGUCAGACCGGCUCGGCCCCAGGUGACCCCGAUAUGACCUCGCAGCUCCCACCUGGGGUCCCCGUCGCGGAUGUGACACCUGGGCCGGCAGGGCAAUAGCGGAGCUCCGUCCCGAGCCUACCCCGAGUCCCCGCAGGUAGGGAGCCGGCUUCGCUCCCAGGAUCGGUCCAUUGAGAGUCUAGAGUACAAAGGACUGCGAGAGGCGAGUACAAAGCGGCGGGGGCGGGGCCAGCGCUCCAGCUGGAGCGCGCACUGGGCAGGAAGCCGGGGGAGAGCUCGCGGCGAGGGGCUGGGGGCGGCUGGAAAGUUCGCCUUCGCUGAAAAGUGUGCGCUGUGGGGAAAUUUCCACCCACCCCACAAGUGCAGCAGGAUUUCUGGUGAAAACACCCCUGCCUCCCGCAGAGGCAGUGUCAUCUGUUCGCAUGGAAGUGCUUGGACCCUACAGGUCCCGACGUGCCACUCUGCCGCGAGCCCUGGUGGACGCUCACGCUUCUCGGGCCGCUCCGUGGUUCACAUAAGAGUUUUUGUCACGACACUCUACCUCGAAACAGCGGCUUUCCUCUAAGAUACCAAUCCCUAGAAGAGGACAAUGCUUAACCAACUGGUCGAGUGGAUCCCAGGCUGGCUGCCCGCAACCCAGAUCUGCAGGAGACACACGGAGCAGUCGUGGGCAAACGAGGACCUGGCAGACUAGGUAUCAGAGAGGCAGAUCCCUACUAAGGAAGUGGUGCUCAGGGCGCAGCCAGUUACCAGGAAAUGCUGCUUCCCUUUCUGCGAUGAUGACACUUUCCCUCUCCCACUUCCCCUUUCCCACGGGGAACUGAGUCAGCUUUCCCUGCACUAGCGAGUUCUGCCCCUUUGCCUCCUGGUCUUCAGUCUUUAUCUACAAACCCCCACGCCAGCAUCUGGGAAUACAGUCGCCUCCCCUGAGGACAAAACUUCCUGUGCACUAAGCACACUUCUAGGCAGCUGCCUCUGAUCCUGGUCCCCACCCCGGACCCCCCACCCCCAGCCCUCACUUGGGGCCUGAUUCAGUCUUGGGGUGGCAGCGUGUGAGUCAGCCAGAAAACCUUUCCCCAUUCCCACUGACUCAGCCCCCGCCUCCCUGAACUCAGACACACAGUCACAGGCAGACACAACUCUUCAGCCCACACACCGCUCACCACCAGUCCGCGGAAUUUCCCCCUCGCCUCUCCCCCACGACGGUUCCUUCCCGCGCGGGGUAGCCCCGCCGCCGCAGCAGCACACCUGUUCCCUGGCCAGCGGGCAGCCGCUGGCUGGCAAUCAACUCUCACCUCCACUCUUGCUCUGGGGUAGAAAUAGCCCUUUCCGACUCCGGGUGUCCACACUAACCCAGAGGAGGGGACAACCACGGGCAGACACAAAGACAAGACACCCACAGACUUCUCGAAGACGGGUGGGAGACAGAUGCACGCGGUCAGAGCCAAGCUGGGAGGCCGACGCACUUCUAGGGCAAACAUUCCAGACUCUCCCGACCCGAUCCACAAUCCCGAGAUCUAGCCGCUCGGAAAGGGUUAAUUCCGCUCCACCGAGGACACGCCCUCUCCAUCCGGGCACUCCCGGCGAAGCCCAGCUCCACCCCCUCCAUCCGGGCUCCAGACUCGCGGACUUUAACCUGCCCCGCCCUCUGGCGCCCCUGGAGAAAAGCGCUCCAUCAAUCACACCUACUUAACUCUCUCCGGGCUUGGGCCGAGGAGCCCCUCCGCGCGGCGCCCCGGCCUCCAGGACGCGUCCGAGCGGCCAGCCGCGCGCACACAGUCUCAGCCCCGCUGGCGGGGCUACCGAGCAGACACCGGCCGGCGGCACAGGCCCGUUCCGGACCCCGCGGCAGCCCGCUCCCCGCCCGUCCGCGCUCCGCCUGGUGGAAGCCAGGUGCGGGCGGCGCGCUGCUUACCUGGGAGAAGGCGAGGCGGGGGUGGGGGGCAGCAGGGCCGCCGGCGGAGGCGCUGCGGUGACUCAGCCACCCGGGCAGGCCGCCCGCCCGGGAUUCCCUUCCCCAGCCUUCCCCGCGGACGGCCCCUCUCCGCCCCCCGCCGAGGAGUGACAGUGCUGGCCUUGGCCCGCUCUGUGUCACUGCGGGCCUUGUGUCUGCCUCUGACUGGGCGCUGUGUUCACCAGUCUGUCUGACAAGGUCGGCUGUGUGUGGGUCCGGCUGUCUGUCUCUUGUGUGCACCUGCAUAUCUGCUCAUCUCGUCUCCCUCAGUGCCUGUGUCUGACGCGUUCCUGUCAUUAUCCCUGUCUACAUGACUCCACGGGGCUGUUUCUGUCUGUGUGUCUGCCUGGCUCCUGUCUCGGUCUUUUGUCUGGGUCUGCCUCUGUAUCACUGGGGUGAUCACGUGUGUCUCUGCACAUGUCUUUCUGUGUUUGCCUGCAUGUUCCUGAACAGAGUCGAAAUACAUUGGAACAGGCUGACCUCGCUCUGA